rnacentral:misc_RNA from 1 species
GAAAUGCGAUAAGUAGUGUGAAUUGCAGAAUUCAGUGAAUCAUCAAAUCUUUGAACGCACAUUGCGCCCCUCGGUAUUCCGUGGGGCAUGCCUGUUCGAGCGUCAUCUACACCCUCAAGCUCUGCUUGGUGUUGGGCGUCUGUCCCGCCUCCGCGCGCGGACUCGCCCCAAAUGCAUUGGCAGCGGUUCCUUGCCCCCCUCUUUGCGCAGCACAUUGCCAUUCGAGGCGGCGGCGGCCCGCGUCCAACAAGCUCAACCCCCCCGUCUUUGACCUCGGAUCAGGUAGGGAUACCCGCUGAACUUAAGC